UUAAUGAGGCGAACCGGGGGAACUGAAACAUCUAAGUACCCCGAGGAAAAGAAAUCAACCGAGAUUCCCCCAGUAGCGGCGAGCGAACGGGGAGCAGCCCAGAGCCUGAAUCAGUGUGUGUGUUAGUGGAAGCGUCUGGAAAGGCGCGCGAUACAGGGUGACAGCCCCGUACACAAAAAUGCACAUACUGUGAGCUCGAUGAGUAGGGCGGGACACGUGGUAUCCUGUCUGAAUAUGGGGGGACCAUCCUCCAAGGCUAAAUACUCCUGACUGACCGAUAGUGAACCAGUACCGUGAGGGAAAGGCGAAAAGAACCCCGGCGAGGGGAGUGAAAAAGAACCUGAAACCGUGUACGUACAAGCAGUGGGAGCCUCUUUUAUGGGGUGACUGCGUACCUUUUGUAUAAUGGGUCAGCGACUUAUAUUCUGUAGCAAGGUUAACCGAAUAGGGGAGCCGAAGGGAAACCGAGUCUUAACCGGGCGUUAAGUUGCAGGGUAUAGACCCGAAACCCGGUGAUCUAGCCAUGGGCAGGUUGAAGGUUGGGUAACACUAACUGGAGGACCGAACCGACUAAUGUUGAAAAAUUAGCGGAUGACUUGUGGCUGGGGGUGAAAGGCCAAUCAAACCGGGAGAUAGCUGGUUCUCCCCGAAAGCUAUUUAGGUAGCGCCUCGUGAAUUCAUCUCCGGGGGUAGAGCACUGUUUCGGCAAGGGGGUCAUCCCGACUUACCAACCCGAUGCAAACUGCGAAUACCGGAGAAUGUUAUCACGGGAGACACACGGCGGGUGCUAACGUCCGUCGUGAAGAGGGAAACAACCCAGACCGCCAGCUAAGGUCCCAAAGUCAUGGUUAAGUGGGAAACGAUGUGGGAAGGCCCAGACAGCCAGGAUGUUGGCUUAGAAGCAGCCAUCAUUUAAAGAAAGCGUAAUAGCUCACUGGUCGAGUCGGCCUGCGCGGAAGAUGUAACGGGGCUAAACCAUGCACCGAAGCUGCGGCAGCGACACUGUGUGUUGUUGGGUAGGGGAGCGU
rnacentral:rRNA from 1 species